CACAAUGCAGAUCACUACAUCAUCAUGACUGAGUGAUACCUCUAUGUAACUUCAGUCUCAAAGGUGGAUUUGCUCCACAUUUUGUGCAUUUUGCGCUCUGUGCAGGUGA
rnacentral:lncRNA from 1 species